CUCCGAUUACAUUUCGGCUUAGGAAAAUAAAUAUGGUGGAAGUGUCGGUGGAAGUAAUUUAUCAAGUAAUUUGUGAGCUACCAAUUAUUGUUUUAGUUGCAUGAAGGCCAGGAAAUAUUAAUUGCUGCAGACAAUGAAUUUAGCUACAAAAGAUGAUUGUUGUUAGGUAACUGGCAUAUAUAGUCUAUAUCUAAAACUUGCGUGGUUGGAUUCAUUUCCAGAAGUAAAAUGGCAUUUACCUUUGGAGUGAUUGCCAAGCUUACACCAAGAAUUAAAACUGUCAUCACUUACUGAUAAAGACUCACAGGAAUCACACUUCACUGAAAUUUAUAGGAAUAGAACAAAUGAAUUAUUAGUAAGAAAUUAGUUUGAAAAGGUCAAUAUCUUAGUUGAGACUAGUUUUAUAAAAGUAUAUGACUUUGUAUUAUAUCCAAACUUAGAAAAUGAAUAUAGAGUACAAUUUUUUUCAUU